AACGAAGCACAGAUGUAGAAUUUCUUCGGAAAGGAAGCGCCUGUGACUGAGUGGCGGACGGGUGAGUAACGCGUGGGCAACCUGCCCCAUACCGGGGGACAACAGCUGGAAACGGCUGCUAAUACCGCAUACGUUUUCGGUGCCGCAUGGCGCCGAAAAGAAAACUCCGGUGGUAUGGGAUGGGCCCGCGUCUGAUUAGCUAGUUGGGAGGGUAACGGCCUACCAAGGCGACGAUCAGUAGCCGGCCUGAGAGGGCGACCGGCCACAUUGGGACUGAGACACGGCCCAGACUCCUGCGGGAGGCAGCAGUGGGGAAUAUUGCACAAUGGGGGGAACCCUGAUGCAGCGACGCCGCGUGAGCGAAGAAGUACCUCGGUAUGUAAAGCUCUAUCAGCAGGGAAGAAAGUGACAGUACCUGACUAAGAAGCCCCGGCUAACUACGUGCCAGCAGCCGCGGUAAUACGUAGGGGGCAAGCGUUAUCCGGAUUCACUGGGCGUAAAGGGAGCGCAAGCGGCGCGGCAAGUCUGAUGUGAAAGCCCGGGGCUCAACCCCCG
rnacentral:rRNA from 1 species